UACGGGGGGGGCAAGCGUUGUUCGGAAUUACUGGGCGCAAAGGGUGCGUAGGCGGUGCUCUAAGUCGGAUGUGAAAACUCUGGGCUCAACCCAGAGCCUGCAUCCGAAACUGGAGUGCUAGAGUUCUGGAGGGGGUAGCGGAAUUCCUGGUGUAGCGGUGAAAUGCGUAGAUAUCAGGAGGAACACCGGUGGCGAAGGCGGCUACCUGGACAGAAACUGACGCUGAGGCACGAAAGCUAGGGGAGCAAACAGG
rnacentral:rRNA from 1 species